rnacentral:rRNA from 1 species
GACGUAGGGUGCGAGCGUUGUCCGGAUUUAUUGGGCGUAAAGAGCUCGUAGGUGGUUUGUCGCGUUGUCCGUGAAAACUCACAACUCAAUUGUGGGCGUGCGGGCGAUACGGGCAGACUGGAGUACUGCAGGGGAGACUGGAAUUCCUGGUGUAGCGGUGGAAUGCGCAGAUAUCAGGAGGAACACCGGUGGCGAAGGCGGGUCUCUGGGCAGUAACUGACGCUGAGGAGCGAAAGCGUGGGGAGCGAACAGG